rnacentral:sRNA from 1 species
GACGUGUCCCGCUCGUCUUGCACCGUCACAGUCCGCUUGGCGACGGGUUA